UACGGGAGGCAGCAGUGGGGAAUAUUGGACAAUGGGCGAAAGCCUGAUCCAGCCAUACCGCGUGUGUGAAGAAGGCCCUAGGGUUGUAAAGCACUUUAAGUUGGGAAGAAAAGUUAUUGGUUAAUACCCAAUGACCGUGACAUUACCAUCAGAAUAAGGACCGGCUAAUUCCGUGCCAGCAGCCGCGGUAAUACGGAAGGUCCAAGCGUUAAUCGGAAUUACUGGGCGUAAAGCGCGCGUAGGUGGUUUAUUAAGUUGGGUGUGAAAUCCCCGGGCUCAACCUGGGAACUGCAUCCAAAACUGAUUCACUAGAGUACGAUAGAGGGAGGUAGAAUUCACAGUGUAGCGGUGGAAUGCGUAGAUAUUGUGAAGAAUACCAAUGGCGAAGGCAGCCUCCUGGAUCUGUACUGACACUGAGGUGCGAAAGCGUGGGUAGCGAACAGGAUUAGAUACCCUGGUAGUCCACGCCGUAAACGAUGUCAACUAUCUGUUGGAAAGCAUUGCUUUUCAGUGGAGCAGCUAACGUAAUAAGUUGACCGCCUGGGGAGUACGGCCGCAAGGCUAAAACUCAAAUGAAUUGACGGGGACCCGCACAAGCGGUGGAGCAUGUGGUUUAAUUCGAUGCAACGCGAAAAACCUUACCUAUGCUUGACAUACUUGGAAUACUUUGUAAUGAAGUAGUGCCUUCGGGAGCCAGGAUACAGGUGCUGCAUGGCUGUCGUCAGCUCGUGUCGUGAGAUGUUCCGUUAAGUCGGAUAACGAGCGCAACCCUUACCCUUAUUUGCCAGCGAUUCGGUCGGGAACUAUAAGGGGACUGCCGGUGAUAAACCGGAGGAAGGUGAGGACGACGUCAAGUCAUCAUGGCCCUUACGCAUAGGGCUACACACGUGCUACAAUGGAGAAUACAGACGGACGCUAAGCCGCGAGGUGGUGCCAAUCCUAGAAAAUUCUUCGUAGUCCGGAUUGGAGUCUGCAACUCGACUCCAUGAAGUCGGAAUCGCUAGUAAUCGCGAAUCAGCAUGUCGCGGUGAAUACGUUCUCGGGUCUUGUACACACCGCCCGUCAUACCAUGGAAGUGGAUUGCACCAGAAGUAGAUAGUCUAACCUUAGGGAGGGCGUUUACCACGGUGUGCUUCAUGACUGGGGUGAAGUCGUAACAAGGUAGCCGUAGGGGAACCUGUGGCUG
rnacentral:rRNA from 1 species